rnacentral:rRNA from 1 species
GACGAACGCUGGCGGCGUGCUUAACACAUGCAAGUCGAGCGGUAAGGCCCUUUCGGGGGUACGACGAGCGGCGAACGGGUGAGUAACACGUGGGUGACCUGCCCUCAGCUCUGGGAUAAGCCUGGGAAACUGGGUCUAAUACCGGAUAUGACUCCAUGACGCAUGUUGUGGGGUGGAAAGCCUUGUGCGGCUGAGGAUGGGCCCGCGGCCUAUCAGCUUGUUGGUGGGGUGAGGCCUACCAAGGCGACGACGGGUAGCCGGCCUGAGAGGCGACCGGCCACACUGGGACUGAGACACGGCCCAGACUCCUACGGGAGGCAGCAGUGGGGAAUCUUGCGCAAUGGGCGAAAGCCUGACGCAGCGACGCCGCGUGAGGGAUGACGGCCUCGGUU